rnacentral:rRNA from 1 species
UACGUAGGGUCCAAGCGUUAAUCGGAAUGACUGGGCGUAAAGGGUGCGCAGGCGGUUUUGUAAGACAGAUGUGAAAUCCCCGGGCUUAACCUGGGAACUGCAUGUGUGACUGCAAGGCUAGAGUGUGUCAGAGGGGGGUAGAAUUCCACGUGUAGCAGUGAAAUGCGUAGAGAUGUGGAGGAAUACCGAUGGCGAAGGCAGCCCCCUGGGACGAUACUGACGCUCAUGCACGAAAGCGUGGGGAGCAAACAGG